rnacentral:rRNA from 1 species
GAUGAACGCUGGCGGCGUGCUUAACACAUGCAAGUCGAACGGAAAGGCUCCUGCUUGCAGGGGUACUCGAGUGGCGAACGGGUGAGUAACACGUGGGUGAUCUGCCCUGCACUUCGGGAUAAGCCUGGGAAACUGGGUCUAAUACCGGAUAGGACGAUGGUUUGGAUGCCAUUGUGGAAAGUUUUUCGGUGUGGGAUGAGCUCGCGGCCUAUCAGCUUGUUGGUGGGGUAAUGGCCUACCAAGGCGUCGACGGGUAGCCGGCCUGAGAGGGUGUACGGCCACAUUGGGACUGAGAUACGGCCCAGACUCCUACGGGAGGCAGCAGUGGGGAAUAGUGCACAAUGGGCGCAAGCCUGAUGCAGCGACGCCGCGUGGGGGAUGACGGCCUUCGGGUUGUAAACUCCUUUCGCUAGGGACGAAGCGCAAGUGACGGUACCUGGAGAAGAAGCACCGGCUAACUACGUG